AUUCUGGAUAUUGGUGGCAUUCAGGAGGAAAUAUUCCUGCAAUUGGAUCACACCUUCCUGGGGCAUGUUGUUUUUCUCCCUGAAGAAAUUAAUCUUUGCCUCACAGAAGACAAAUGAUGAAGGAGGUGGAUCUGCUGAGACCCCACUUGAAGCAGAUUAAGAAAGAAAAUCUUUAAUAUCAGGAUUGAAUUCCAGACACUUCUGGAAUAUCUUGUCACCCCCUGGGAUCAUCUGAACAGCUCAAACUCCAGAGAUAAGGGAUGUCUGUGGGUGGCCCACGCUGUUUCUCUUGGUUGUCUCCAGGUAAGUUACAUGGCAGUAACUUAUCUUUAAUUGAUAAGAAAAAAAGGUAAUUUUUAGAUAGUUCCUUUUAGUAAACCAUGAAGGAAUAGCAUAACAUUGCUACUGAUUUACUUUGAAAACACAAGUUGAAAUUCAGGUGCAUUCUGGUUCCUGUUAGAGCUAUGAAAUGCACUGUUUGAGUACUGCUAAAAGUGUUUUGGAGGAGGAUUAAUCCUCCCUCAACAUCAGUUUACAGAGUUCUUUUAAGCUGACAGGUAGCACUUAAAAAUGUUUGUUGUAUU
rnacentral:lncRNA from 1 species